CACGGUGAUUAGACGAGAUGACCACAGGAAGACACAACCACCAUGACGCAGCCACUUAAUAGCUCCUCGUGCAGAAGGUUCUGCAGCACCUCCAGGUCAUUCAUCACACACCACAUAAAAACGAGGAGGAGCUAAAGUGAGAAAAUCUGCAGGAGAUCACGAUAUAACCUCACUCACUCCAACUGCUCGUAACCACAACAAGAAUUUGGGGAGCAGUGCAAAGGUGUCGCUGAGGCUGUUCCACCCAGGCAGAGCUGCUGAGACACCCCAGAGCCAGAUCGGGAGGUGAGCAACAGGGCUAUGAAACAGAGUCAUGGACAGAUCCUGCUGGGAGCAGCCGCUUGCACUGCUGUACCUGGGGAUUACAUCCGCUCAGGAGGGCUCCCAACCCGUCGGAUUGAGUGUAAAGGCAGAGGAGGAGAAAAUCUUCUUGAAAUUGAAUGUGAUGACAGGUUUGUGGAGCGAAGGCCAAAGCCUGGAGACGGCUCCAAGUGGCUUUGUUGGGGCAGACACCCAGGUAACUCAAAUUGGAUCCUGCCUCUUGGAACAAGUUCUGACAUCACUUACUCCGGUGCAGCCGGGGUUAUUCAUUUGGGCUAAGCAAAUUAAAAGGUUCUGCUUAGCCUCUCCCUUGCUUUGCUUUUAUACUGUCAGUGUAAUUGAAGCUAC